UUUAUUUGUAUAAGACGUUUUCCAUCUUUCCUCCUCCUUUCGUCCUUUUCCUUCUUCAAUCUGUCUUAUUCCCCUCACGAAUUUGCAAGACCUAAAUGUCCCAAAGUUGGCCCAUCGUCGAUACUUGUUUCUAGAGAGCUACUCUCGGUUCAGGGCUAAGAGGCUUUGCUGGUGUUAGCGAUUUGCAUUCCGUUAGAAUGGGUAAGGGCAACAAAGAAGGGACCUCCAAGCAAUUCAGGUGGACAAAACUGAUGGAACAUCUUUUUCUUGAAAUUCUAGCAGAUGAGGCCCAGAGAGGAAAUAAGCCUUCUAAUACUUUCAAAGCAAUUUCUAUUAAUCGAGUUGCCGAAGCUAUUUUUGAAAGAUUUCAAGUCCAAUGCGAUGCGAAGCAUGUGGAAAAUCAUUUGAGGACUGUAAAAAACCAGUGGCAGAUUAUAUGCACAAUUCGGGGUGAAAGUGGUUUUGGAUGGGAUGAUAACAUGAAAAUGAUCACAUGUGAUAGAGCGACAUAUGAUGCAGCAGUGAUAGUAAUAUAUGUAUAUAUAUAUGUUAAGUAUAUUUCAAUUGUUUUUUACUUGUUAUUCUAAUUGUAUAUAAUAUCUAACAGGCACACAAGAAGUGUGAACCAUUUUGAAUAAAAGCAUUGAUCAUUAAGAUGAAAUGGCUUUCGUUGUUGGCAAAGAUAUGGCAACAGGGAGUUUUGCCAAAACAUAUGUUGACAUAGAUUUGGAUGACGGUAACCAAGAUUCAGUGCCUAUAGACUGCGACAAUGAAAAGACUAAAGAGGUAAGAACAAAAGUAUCUUCAUCUGGCACAUCCAAACGUAAAAGAAAAAAUGUUCAAGAAAGUGUCAUUGAUGAACAAAUUAAAUUUGUGGGUGAACAACUUUGCAAAAUUGCUAAUGCUUUGGAACAAUUUACUGUGGAUAAGACACCACAUCUUUACGAAGAAGUGAUGUCGAUGGAGGAAGAAGGAUUUGAUGAUGACUUCCUGUGUUCUGUGUUUGAUUAUCUAGUGAGUCAUGAAUCCGAGACCAAAGCUUUUUUAGUUAAAAGUAAGAAGCAUAAAAAAAUUUGGCUUCAAAAA